UAAGAAAAGGGUUUUCCGUAGGUGAACCUGCGGAAGGAUCAUUACCGAGUGCGGGCCCCUCGGGGCCCAACCUCCCACCCGUGUUGCCCGAACCUAUGUUGCCUCGGCGGGCCCCGCGCCCGCCGACGGCCCCCCUGAACGCUGUCUGAAGUUGCAGUCUGAGACCUAUAACGAAAUUAGUUAAAACUUUCAACAACGGAUCUCUUGGUUCCGGCAUCGAUGAAGAACGCAGCGAAAUGCGAUAACUAAUGUGAAUUGCAGAAUUCAGUGAAUCAUCGAGUCUUUGAACGCACAUUGCGCCCUCUGGUAUUCCGGAGGGCAUGCCUGUCCGAGCGUCAUUGCUGCCCUCAAGCCCGGCUUGUGUGUUGGGCCCCGUCCCCCCCGCCGGGGGGACGGGCCCGAAAGGCAGCGGCGGCACCGCGUCCGGUCCUCGAGCGUAUGGGGCUUCGUCACCCGCUCUAGUAGGCCCGGCCGGCGCCAGCCGACCCCCAACCUUUAAUUAUCUCAGGUUGACCUCGGAUCAGGUAGGGAUACCCGCUGAACUUAAGCAUAUCAAUAAGCGGAGGAAAAGAAACCAACAGGGAUUGCCCCAGUAACG
rnacentral:rRNA from 1 species